rnacentral:rRNA from 1 species
GUGAAAUUGUUGAAAGGGAAACGCUUGAAGUCAGUCACGUUGGCUAGAAAUCAGCCCUGCUCUUGCUCGGUGUACUUUCUGGUUGAUGGGUCAGCAUCAAUUUCGACCGUUGGAUAAAGUCUCUGGGAAUGUGGCAUCUUCGGAUGUGUUAUAGCCCAGGGUCGCAUGCAGUGGUUGGGAUUGAGGAACUCAGCACGCCGCAAGGCCGGGUUUCGACCACGUUCGUGCUUAGGAUGCUGGCAUAAUGGCUUUAAUCGACCCGUCUUGAAACACGGACCAAGGAGUCUAACAUGCCUGCGAGUGUUUGGGUGGAAAAACCCAUGCGCGGAAUGAAAGUGAAAGUUGAGAUCCCCCUCGAAAGGGAGCAUUGACGCCCGGACCAGAGCUUUUGUGACGGAUCCGCGGUAGAGCAUGUAUGUUGGGACCCGAAAGAUGGUGAACUAUGCCUGUAUAGGGUGAAGCCGGAGGAAACUCUGGUGGAGGCUCGUAGCGAUUCUGACGUGCAAAUCGAUCGUCAAAUUUGGGUAUAGGGGCGAAAGACUAAUCGAACCAUCUAAUAGCUGGUUCCUGCCGAAGUUUCCCUCAGGAUAGCAAA